UUGUACGAAAAUUUUAAAAUUGUAUCGUGAAAAAAAAUGCUAAUGUCUCAAAAAGGCAAACAUGCGUUCCUUUCUGCUCCCCAGUGUGCAUUUGAACAUUCACACAAACAUAUGUACUACAUAAUAACUAACUCGCUUUACUACUGAGCUCCGUUGUAAUUUUAAGAGUGCCAAAUUAAGUAGCAAGACACCAAGAAAUCACGUUUUAAUUCAUAAAGAAGGGUGUGAGUUUAACUAGCAAAAGGAAAACAUUAAUUGUGAACUAUUGUACUUGUCUAAAUGUCUGUUCAUGUUUUCGAAACCGAUUUUUCUGCAGACGACAGUAUUGAAGAUCUGGACUUUAAUACUACUGGAAGUAAACGAAAGAGUUCAUUAAGUGCGAAAUCAGGACCGGCCCUAAAAAAAGUCCAUGUGAAUUCACAAAAAAUUAUUUUCAAAGAAGAAUUUUACACAGAAGUGGAAAAAAUUUCCGACAAGACAACUUGUGCUAAGUGCGUUGCAUGUCAUC